rnacentral:rRNA from 1 species
GACAGAGGGUGCAAACGUUGUUCGGAAUUACUGGGCGUAAAGCGCGUGUAGGCGGCCAACUAAGUCGGGCGUGAAAUCCCACGGCUCAACCGUGGAAGUGCACUCGAAACUGGAUGGCUAGAGUCCUGGAGAGGAAGGUGGAAUGCUUGGUGUAGAGGUGAAAUUCGUAGAUAUCAAGCGGAACACCGGUGGCGAAGGCGGCCUUCUGGACAGUGACGUGACGCUGAGA